rnacentral:tRNA from 4 species
GGGACGUUAGCUCAGUCGGUAGAGCAGCGGACUUUUAAUCCGUUGGUCGGCGGUUCGAAUCUGCCACGUCCUACCA